AUUGAACGCUGGCGGCAUGCUUUACACAUGCAAGUCGAACGGCAGCGCGGGCUUCGGCCUGGCGGCGAGUGGCGAACUGGUGAGUAAUGCAUCGGAACGUGCCCAGUAGUGGGGGAUAGCCCGGCGAAAGCCGGAUUAAUACCGCAUACGACCUGAUGGUGAAAGCGGGGGACCGAAAGGCCUCGCGCUAUUUGAGCGGCCGAUGUCGGAUUAGCUAGUUGGUGUGGUAAAGGCUUACCAAGGCGACGAUCCGUAGCUGGUCUGAGAGGACGACCAGCCACACUGGGACUGAGACACGGACCAGACUCCUACGGGAGGCAGCAGUGGGGAAGUUUGGACAAUGGGGGCAAACCUGAUCCAGCAAUGCCGCGUGCGGGAAGAAGGCCUUCGGGUUGUAAACCGCUUUUGUUCGGGAAGAAAUCCUCUGGGCUAAUACCCCGGGGGGAUGACGGUACCGGAAGAAUAAGCACCGGCUAACUACGUG
rnacentral:rRNA from 1 species